CACAUUCCCGUCACGCCUCGCCUGUGCUAUAAAAGAGCCCGCUCUCUUACAAUUGGCCGUUUCCUGCGCCUGACUUCCUGAGAUGGUGCCGCUCUUUCUCGGACAGGUCGUGCCUCCCUACAUACGGCCUGAGGAUGUUGGAUGACUACUGUUGCAGGCUUCCUUUAGAGCCUCAGCCUUUUAAACCAUGUUUCAUACCAAAAGGGUGAACUUUGCUUUGGAUGCUGUCCAGAAGCAUGAUUUCGCCAUUGGAAAGAUUCUGUGGAUUUCCUUGCCCUGGGUUGGUGUGGGCAUCUGGCUCAGGACUGCUGGUGAACAUGGCGGACACUGCCACAUACUAGGGUAAAAUUGUACUCAAGAAUGAAAUGACUAUUAAAGCACCACAAGCAUUCGACUGAACCUGUGUUCUGAAGAUUUGUCAUACUAGAUUUCAGGCUUGAGAUGGGGACUGUUGCAGUGGACAGGACUGCCUUGUUCUGGCUGUCAUGUCAACACCUUGUUUUCCUGAUCCAGUGGUUAAUUAAUGAUUCUUCUGGAUUGACAUCAGCCUUACAUUUGACUGUCAAGCAACUGGAGACUGCACAAUCUUAAAGGGUUCUGCUCCUCUUACUAGCCUGUGCAUGUGCUGGGAGUAGCAAAUGUAUGCAGCUAUUAAUGUUUUAGUAAGCCAGUGAUCUGAUGUGCCUUGUGCAAGAAAGGGGUUUUGGCACCCCCCCCCCCCCCCCAGUCAGACCUGUAAAGAGAACUUGUUUCCUGGCUGUAGGCAACAUUAAUCACUGGUUGUGGCCCCAGUGUGUGCAUUCUGUCCCACUGUAAUUAAACUGAUGCCAUAGGAAGGUCCUGUGACCAGUUUCAUACAUCACGCUUUAUAAGAGCAGUGCUUACAAGCACAAGAGUACCUGCUAGUAAACCUAAAUUGGUCAUGUUACACAAUCUGACACUGAUGCCAAAGGCUUACAAAUGCUGCUAGCUGCAUGCAUGUUCUGUUUCUAUACACCUUCCUCAUACAAAAUUGACUUGUAUAAGCUAAUAAACCAGAUCAGAAUUGUGA